AAAGAGGUUAGACAUAUUUUACAUGACAACAUCAAUUAUGUCAAUUGUGACCAAAUUAUCUUUUGUUUUUGUCGACCCAAAAUGGUUAUUGUUGUGUUUCCGGUGUAACGGUAUUCGAAAUAUUACGAAAAUAAUAACCAAUAGCUUGUGAAUCGCAAAAUUAAUUAAAUAUUAUACAAUAGUGAAGUGUGCAGUUGUUGCCUGCACCAACAAAACCCAAACAAAACUAGCGGGAAUUUCAUUUCACAAAUUUCCAAAAAAUCAUGAUUUAAAACCAAAAUGGUUAAACAGCAUUAACAGGCCUAAUUUCCAUCACGAUACAGCUGCAUAUGUAGUGAUCAUUUUAAGAAGGAUUACAUUAAUUUAACAUUAUGCUUUCCGCACCUCAAAGACAAUGCCUGCCCAUCUAUCCCGAAUUUAUCACCUGAGCAACAAGUAAGACAAGAAAGUGCAAGAAGUGAACCUUAAUCUGUUAUUAGAGAGUCAUGACAAUGCUGUUUCCCAAAAUGGAAUAUAAUUAGUA
rnacentral:lncRNA from 1 species